CCUACGGGAGGCUGCAGUGAGGAAUAUUGGUCAAUGGACGAGAGUCUGAACCAGCCAAGUAGCGUGAAGGAUGACUGCCCUAUGGGUUGUAAACUUCUUUUAUAUGGGAAUAAAAUGUUCCACGUGUGGGAUUUUGUAUGUACCAUAUGAAUAAGGAUCGGCGAACUCCGUGCCAGCAGCCGCGGUAAUACGGAGGAUCCGAGCGUUAUCCGGAUUUAUUGGGUUUAAAGGGAGCGUAGGUGGAUUGUUAAGUCAGUUGUGAAAGUUUGCGGCUCAACCGUAAAAUUGCAGUUGAAACUGGCAGUCUUGAGUACAGUAGAGGUGAGCGGAAUUCGUGGUGUAGCGGUGAAAUGCUUAGAUAUCACGAAGAACUCCGAUUGCGAAGGCAGUUCACUGGACUGCAACUGACACUGAGGCUCGAAAGUGUGGGUAUCAAACAGGAUUAGAUACCCCUGUAGUC
rnacentral:rRNA from 1 species